GACAGAGGCCUCGAGCGUUAGGCGGAAUCACUGGGCUUAAAGCGUGUGUAGGCGGGUCCGUAAGUGUCUUGUGAAAUCCCACGGCUCAACCGUGGAACUGCUGGGCAUACUGCGGGUCUUGGGCCAACUAGGGGCAGCCGGAACAAGCGGUGGAGCGGUGAAAUGCGUAGAUAUCGCUUGGAACGCCGAAGGUGAAAACAGGCUGCUGGGGUUGCGCCGACGCUGAGACACGAAAGCCAGGGGAGCAAACGGG
rnacentral:rRNA from 1 species